rnacentral:misc_RNA from 1 species
GUAGGUGAACCUGCGGAAGGAUCAUUAUCACGUAUCCACGUAUAAACCAUCGCGAACUCUUGCCUUUGGGAGAGGAUGACAGUGGGAAUACAAGCACAUGAACUCUUUACUGUGAUUUAAAGUUCGCUUGCGUUCUCCGAGACUUGUCUCGUUGUUCUUUCCUGAAGUGUAUUUUUUUAAAUCACUAAACCAUUAACAAUUUGAACCAACUUUAAAUUAUGAACUGAUCUAUUUCUUACUCUUCGGAGAA